rnacentral:rRNA from 1 species
UACGAGGGGGGCUAGCGUUGCUCGGAAUCACUGGGCGUAAAGCGCACGUAGGCGGCUUCUUAAGUCAGGGGUGAAAUCCUGGAGCUCAACUCCAGAACUGCCCUUGAUACUGAGAGGCUCGAGUCCGGGAGAGGUGAGUGGAACUCCGAGUGUAGAGGUGAAAUUCGUAGAUAUUCGGAAGAACACCAGUGGCGAAGGCGGCUCCCUGGCCCGGUACUGACGCUGAGGUGCGAAAGCGUGGGGAGCAAACAGG